GCUCGCUCCACGCUUCCCCCACAGCGGCUGGUCGCCGUCAGCCAGGCCCCUGGGGUGAGGCGACUCCCGGCGGCGACCGCACAGACGCCGACCGAACGACCGGCGGGCGCUUCUCACAGUUGAGACAUUCAUGACGGAAGAGAGAAGACAGUGCAGUAUUACCUGUGGAGAGACGUGAUAACUGCCCUUCAAGCCAGAUUUGAAGAAGCAAUCUACCAUGAAGCCUGCAGCCUAGAGGAAUGAAUGUCACCAUAACCUAAAGGGGCUUAGAAGCACACCCUUCCCUGGCUGAGUCUUCGGAUGAGAAAGAACCCCCACUUCCAGUGCUGUGAGGCCGAGGAGAUGAUCUCACUAAGCCAGGCCUGAAUCCUUGCCCCAAGAACUUAGGGGCAAUAAAUGGGCACCUUUUAAACCACCACAUUCGCAUGGUUUGUUUUGCAGCAACCAGAAACUAGUAACAAGUGUCAAGGUCACCAAACAUACAAGGGAAAGCAUGGGAUGUGAUGAUGAUUUAAUAUGAUAUACUCACGUAUCCAGGGCCAAUGCCGAAGCAAGGCAGGACAGGAACCAUGAGUGUCUCUUUCAGUUCCUGUGGUAUCUUUACUAUUGUAUCUUAUCCAGGAAUUUCCACAAGCCUGUGUACUAUUUUCAGUUUUCAAUACAAAGGACUGAACAAUUGUGUGUGUGUGUGUG